rnacentral:rRNA from 1 species
UACGAAGGGGGCGAGCGUUGUUCGGAUUUACUGGGCGUAAAGGGCGCGCAGGCGGCUCAUUUUGUCAGGCGUGAAAGCCCCGGGCUCAACCUGGGAACCGCGCUUGAGACUGGAGAACUAGAGUUCGGGAGAGGAUGGUGGAAUUCCCAGUGUAGAGGUGAAAUUCGUAGAUAUUGGGAAGAACACCGAUGGCGAAGGCAGCCAUCUGGACCGACACUGACGCUGAGGCGCGAAAGCGUGGGGAGCAAACAGG